rnacentral:rRNA from 1 species
AUUGAACGCUGGCGGCAGGCCUAACACAUGCAAGUCGAACGGUAACAGGAAACAGCUUGCUGUUUCGCUGACGAGUGGCGGACGGGUGAGUAAUGUCUGGGAAACUGCCUGAUGGAGGGGGAUAACUACUGGAAACGGUAGCUAAUACCGCAUAACGUCGCAAGACCAAAGAGGGGGACCCUCGGGCCUCUUGCCAUCGGAUGUGCCCAGAUGGGAUUAGCUUGUUGGUGGGGUAACGGCUCACCAAGGCGACGAUCCCUAGCUGGUCUGAGAGGAUGACCAUCCACACUGGAACUGAGACACGGUCCAGACUCCUACGGGAGGCAGCAGUGGGGAAUAUUGCACAAUGGGCGCAAGCCUGAUGCAGCCAUGCCGCGUGUAUGAAGAAGGCCUUCGGGUUGUAAAGUACGUUCAGCGGGGAGGAAGGGAGUAAAGUUAAUACCUUUGCUCAUUGACGUUACCCGCAGAAGAAGCACCGGCUAACUCCGUG